AGCAGUAGCCGCGGGAAUACAGAGGUCUCAAGCGUUGUUCGGAUUCAUUGGGCGUAAAGGGUGCGUAGGUGGCGGUGUAAGUCUAACGUGAAAUCUCGGGGCUCAAUCUCGAGAUUGCGUCGGAUACUGCAUUGCUAGUGGAUUGUAGAGGAGAGUGGAAUUCAUGGUGUAGCAGUGAAAUGCGUAGAUAUCAUGAGGAAGACCAGUUGCGAAGGCGACUCUCUGGGCAAUUCCUGACACUGAGGCACGAAGGCUAGGGGAGCAAACGGGAUUAGAUACCCCGGUAGUCCCUGUCUCUUAGAA
rnacentral:rRNA from 1 species